UACGUAGGGUCCGAGCGUUGUCCGGAAUUACUGGGCGUAAAGAGCUCGUAGGUGGUUUUGUCGCGUUGUUCGUGAAAACUCACAGCUUAACUGUGGGCGUGCGGGCGAUACGGGCAGGCUCGAGUUCGGUAGGGGGAGACUGGAAUUCCUGGUGUAGCGGUGAAAUGCGCAGAUAUCAGGAGGGAACACCCGGUGGGCGAAAGGGCGGGGUCUCUGGGGCCGAUACUGACGCUGAGGAGCGAAAAGCGUGGGGAGCGAACAGG
rnacentral:rRNA from 1 species